rnacentral:rRNA from 1 species
AGCCCAAACCAUCCAUGUUACGGCAUGGGUGGGGUUGUAGGACUACGCCGUUGCAUGAAGACAUCAGAGAAGAACUUUCUGGAAAGAAAGACCAUAGAGCAUGACAGUUGCGUAUUCGAAUGUUGUCGAAGCAUAGUAGUAUCCUGAGUAGCGCGGAGCACGAGGAAUUCUGCGUGAAUCUGCCGGGACCAUCCGGUAAGGCUAAAUACUCCCGAGAGACCGAUAGCGAACCAGUACCGUGAGGGAAAGGUGAAAAGCACUUCGAACAGAAGAGUGAAAUAGUUCCUGAAACCGUGCGCCUACAAGCGGUCGGAGCUCGUUAAUGAGUGACGGCGUGCCUUUUGCAUAAUGAACCUACGAGUUGCCUUUGCCGGCAAGGUUAAGUGUGACGACACACGUAUCCGAAGCGAAAGCGAGUCUGAACAGGGCGUAUAGUCGGCAGUGGCAGACGCGAAACCAAGUGAUCUACCCUUGGCCAGGUUGAAGGCUGGGUAACACCAGCUGGAGGACCGCACCAAUAAGCGUUGAAAAGCUUCUGGAUGAGCUGAGGGUAGGGGUGAAAGGCUAAUCAAACUUGGAGAUAGCUCGUACUCCCCGAAAUGCAUUUAGGUGCAGCCUUGCGGGUUACUGAUGUGAGGUAGAGCGACUGAUAAGAUGCGAGGGCUUCACCGCCUAUCAAGUCUUGACAAACUCCGAAUGCGCAUCAGUUCUACCGCAGGAGUGAGGGCAUGGGUGCUAAGGUCCGUGCCCGAGAGGAGAAGAAUCCGGACCACCUGCUAAGGUCCCGAAAUGACAGCUAAGUUAAACUAACGAAGUCUGACUGCUAAGACAGCUAGGAUGUUGGCUUGGAAGCAGCCAUUCAUUUAAAGAGUGCGUAACAGCUCACUAGUCGAGGAGUCGGGCGUGGAUAAUAAUCGGGUAUCAAGUUGUCUACCGAAGCAGUGGGAUCAUUUAUAUGAUCGGUAGGGGAGCAUUCCAGUCGGCGUCGAAGGCGUACCGUGAGGUAUUCUGGAGCGUCUGGAAAAGCAAAUGUAGGUAUAAGUAACGAUAAAGGGGGCGGGAAACCCCCUCGCCGAAAGACUAAGGUUUCCUGAUCAACGCUAAUCGGAUCAGGGUCAGUCGGGUCCUAAGGCUCAGCCGAACGGCGAUGCCGAUGGCAGAAACGGUUAAUAUUCCGUUACUACCUUCAGGAGUGACGUGGAGACGCAGUAGUGACAGUGCCGCCAUCUGACGGAAUAGAUGGUUGAAGGGUGUAGGAGUCGAUCAUGGCAGGCAAAUCCACCAUGAGAUCCGAACCUGACAGUAUGCCGCGUCCUUCGGGACAAGGCAAUAGUGCGCGUAAGCAUGCUGCCGAGAAAAUCCGCUAAACUUAAUCCUGCAGGUACCCGUACCGCAAACGGACACACGUAGUCGGGAUGAAUAUUCUAAGGCGCUUGAGUGAUUCACGGUUAAGGAACUAGGCAAACUGACCCUGUAACUUCGGGAUAAAGGGUCCCUACCCUUUUAUGGGAGGGCGCAGAGAAUCGGUCCAGGCAACUGUUUAACAAAAACACAGGGCUGUGCCAAAUCGAAAGAUCCAGUAUACAGCCUGACACCUGCCCGGUGCUGGAAGGUUAAGAGGAGAUGUCAUCGAUAAGAGAAGCGUUGAAUUGAAGCCCCAGUAAACGGCGGCCGUAACUAUAACGGUCCUAAGGUAGCGAAAUUCCUUGUCGGGUAAGUUCCGACCUGCACGAAUGGUGUAAUGAUCUGGACACUGUCUCAACCGUGAGCUCAGUGAAAUUGUAGUAUCGGUGAAGAUGCCGAUUACCCGCGAUGGGACGAAAAGACCCCGUGAACCUUUACUAUAGCUUAUCAUUGAAUCUGGGCACGUGAUGUGUAGGAUAGGUCGGAGGCUUUGAAGCAGGUACGCCAGUAUUUGUGGAGCCGCUGUUGAAAUACGACCCUUUAUUUGUUUGGAUUCUAACCCGUGGAUACGGGGACAUUGAUUGGUGGGUAGUUUGACUGGGGUGGUCGCCUCCAAAAGCGUAACGGAGGCUUCU